GGAAAAAGCCUGCUUGUAUUUCGCAUACCUAGACACUCGUCCGUUCGUUCGCACCCUCCCCGUCCCUAACAAACUCCAUCUCGUCUUUCACCAGUUCUGCCUUGAAAACUCCAACCCCUCUGGUUACAUUAAACUGUUUUCUCUUUCCACAGGCGCUGCUGUAUUUUCCGGAGUUUUCCGGUGACCAACCAUUUUAAUUCCUAUUCCCAUUCUCGCUCCGACUUGUUGGUCCAUGACCGCCUCUUCUGCCAGGAUGAGGCCGCUGUCGGGUUGGAGGAGUGACACCUCACACUCUAUCUGGGUAGCCUCCAGCCUGAUGAUGCUGCCUCACCUGCCUAGUGCCCCGACACUCUCUGUUUUCGUGUCAGAAGUCCAGCAUCUGCACGUUUUGAGUGAGGGAGAAGGAUGUGGCCCUCAAGUGUGGGAGAGAAACCGCUGUUCUGUAUAUGCAUGGAGGAAAGUUUGUGGGUUUCAACAGCUCUGAAGAUCUGUCAAGGGCCCAACAUAUUGAUGUAAUCACAAACAAGGUAUAAAACUGUAAGACCAUGAGGCAAAGGAGCAGAAUUAGGCCAUUUGGCCCAUCGACUUUGCUCUGACAUUUCAUUAUGCUGAUCCAUUUUGCCUCUCAGUUCCAAUCUCCUGCCUUCUCCCCGUAUCCCUUUAUGCUCUGACCAUUCAAAAAUAUAUCAAACUCUGUCUUAAACAUACAUAAAGACUUGGCCUCCACAGCUGCCUGUGGCAAAUAAUUGCACAGAUUCACCACCCCCGGCUAAAGAAAUUCCUCCUCAUCUCCUUUUUAAAAGGAUACCCACCUAUUCUGAGGCUGUCCCCUCUGGUCUUAGACUCUUCCACCGUGGGAAACAUCCUCUCCACAUCCACUCUGUCAAGGCCUUUCACCAAUCGAUAGGUUUCAAUGAGGUCACCCCUCAUUCCUCUGAAUUCUAGUGAAUACAGGCCCAGAGCCAUCAGACACUCUUUAUAUGACAAGUCAUUCAAUCCUGGAAUCAUUUUCAUGAACCUCCUUUGAACCCUCUCCAGAUUCAGCACAUCCUUCCAAACCUGGUCACAAUACUUAAAAUGAGGUGCUUUAUAAAUUCUCAAUAUCACAUCCUUGCUUUUAUAUUCCAGUCCUCCUGAAAAAAAUGCUAACAUCGCAUUUGCCUUCCGCACCACAGACUCAACCUGCAAAUUAACCUUCAAGGAAUCCUGUACAAGAACUCCCAAGUCCCCUUGCAUCUCAGCUUUUUGUAUUUUCUCUCUAUUUAGAAAAAUAGUCAUCCCUUUCAUUUCUUCUACCUACAGAAUGUGCAUGACCAUACACUUCCUGACACUGUCUUCCAUCUGUCAUUUAUUUGUCUAUUCUCCUAAUCUGUUUAAGUCCUUCUGUAACUCCUCUACUUCUACUAAACUACUUGCCCCUUCACUUAUCUUUGUAUCAUCUGCAAACUUUGCAACAAAGACAUCAAUUCUAUCAUCCAAAUCAUUGACAUAUAAUAUAAAAAAAUUAAUCCAACACAGACCCCUGUGGAACAUCACUAGUCACCCGCAACCAACCAGAAAAAGGAUCUCUUUAUUCCCACUCUUUGCCUUCUGCCAAUCAGCCACUGCUUUAUCCAUGCUACAGUCUUUCCCGUAAUACCAUGGAGUCAUAGCUUGGUAAGCAGCCUCAUGCAUAGCACCUUGUUCAAAAGUCUUCUGAAAAUACAACUACACAUCAACCAAUUCUCCAUUGUCUAUCCCACUUGUUAUUUCUACAAAGAAUUCCAACAGAUUUGUCAGGCAAGAUUUUCUUUUGAGGAAACCAUGCUGACUGUGACCUAUUUUAUCAUGUGACUCCAAGUACCCUGAGACUAUUGAAGAAACUUAUGGUAUCCUCUUUAAUAUUUUUGGCUAGCUUACCUUCGUGUUCCAUCUCUACCUUCCUAAUGACUUUUUUUAGUUGUCUUCUGUUGGUGUUUAAAAGCUUUCCAAUCCUCUAACUUCCUGCUAAUUUUUUGCUCUAUUAUAUGCCCUCUCUUUGGCUUUUAUAUUGGCUUUGUUCUUUUCCAAUCAAUUCUGGCCAGCUCAUCUCUCAUGCCUCUGUAAUUCUCUUUACUUCACUGUAAUACCGAUACAUCUGACUUUAGCUUCUCCUUAAAAUUCAGGGUGAAUUCAUAUUAUGAUCACUUUCCCCUCAGGGUUCUUUUACCUUGAUCUCUCUAAUCAAUUCCGGUUCAUUGCACAACACCCAAUCCAGAAUAGGUGAUCCUCUAGCGGGCUCAACCACGAGCUGCUCCAAAAAGCCAUCUCGUAGGCACUCUAGAGGAUCUCCCCUCCCGGAAUCCAGCAGCAAGCUGAUUUUCCCAAUCAACCUGCAUAUUGAAAUCCCCCAUGACUAUUGUAACAUUGUCCUUUCAGCAUGCAUUUCCUAUCUCCUGUUGUAAUUCAUAGACUGCAUCCUUAGUACUGUUUGGAUGUCUGUAGAUAACUCUUAUCAGGGUCUUGUUACCCUUAGUUCUAUCCACAAUGACCCUUUAUCAGGAUUCACAAUCUACCUUGUUAUGAUCUUGCACUUUAUUCAGAAUCAGAUUUACUAUCACCGGCAUGUGUCGUGAAAUUUGUUAACUUAGCAGCAGCAAUUCAAUGAACUACAUAAUAUACUAUAGAAGAGAAACAAUAAUAAUAAUAAGUAAGUCAAUUACACUAUAUGUUUAUUAAUAGAUUAAAAUCAUUUAAAAAAGAAAUAAUACAUAUUUAAAAAGUGAGGUUGUGUUCAUGGGUUCAAUGUCCAUUUAGGAAUCGGAUGGCAGAGGGGAAGAAGCUGUUCCUGAAUCGCUGAGUGUGUGCCUUCAGGCUUCUGUACCUCCUACCUGAUGGUAACUGUGAGAAAAGGGCAUGCCCUGGGUGCUGGAGGUCCUUAAUAAUGGACGCUGCCUUUCUAAGACACCGCUUCCUAAAGAUGUCCUGGGUACUUUGUAGGCUAGUGCCCAAGAUGGAGCUGACUAGAUUUACAACCUCUGCAGCUUCUUUCGGUCCCCCGCAUACUAAACCGUUACUUUGAACUUUGAUAUUGUGGAUUAGAAUGAGUGAAUAUUCAGGGAGAAGACUACAGGGAGACAUAUUUCAGCAGCAUCAUUCAGUUCCAGAAUCAGAUAUCAAGAACUAAUUUCUCUGCAGUUUUAUACCUUCCCAGCUAUAGGCCACCUCUGCGACUGGACUGGGAUGGCAGUGACUAAGCGAAUGUAAUUCUCCUUCUUCACCUCCACCACUUCAUGUCAGUACAUGCUCAUGUGAUCAGACCCAUCAGGGAGAAACGACCAGGCAAUGCUCCAGUCAAAGUCACGUCACCAAUCUAAAGAUAACAUUGUGGGUGAGACUGGAUCAACAGGUUGUGUAAACUGAGAACUCAGCCCCAGCACGAUAGUCCCAGGGAUGAUGGUUCCAGUCCCAAUCAGAGGCACAAGCCACAGAGUCCAACUGGCCCAGUUCCUCACAGGAUAAGCCCUCCCCACCAAUGAGCUCAUCUACAUGAAAUGCUGACACAGGAAAGCAGCAUCCAUCAUCAGGGACCCCCACCAUCUAGGCCAUGCUCUCUUAGAAACAUAGAAAACCUACAGCUCAAUACAGGCCCUUCGGCCCACAAAGUUGUGCGGAACAUGUCCCUACCUCUCUUCUCAUUGCUGCCAUCAGGAAAGAGGUACAGGAGCCUCAGGUCUCACAUCACCGGGUCAGGAACAGUUAUUACCCCUCAACCUUCAGGCUAUUGAACCAGAGGAAAGAACUUCACUCGCCACAACACUGAACCAUUCCCACAACCUAUGGACUCACUUUCAAGGACUCUUCAUCUCAUGUCCUCGAUAUUUAUUGCAUAUUGAUUAUUAUUUUGUAUUUGCAGUUUGUUGUCUGUCUUGUCACGUGUUUUCAUCGAUUCCAUUGUUUCUUUGUACUUAGACCAUAACACCAUAAAAUAUAGGGGCAGAAUGAGGCCAUUUGGCCCAUCUUGACUGUUCCAUUUUCCCUCUCACCCUCAAUCUCCUGCCUUCUUGCCCUGACUAAUAAAGGAUCUAUUAAACUCUGCCUUAAAUAGACACAAUAGCUUGGCCUUCAAAGCUGCUUAUGACAACAAAUUCCACAGAUUCACCAUAAGAUAGGUUCCUGAUCUCAUGAUCUUACACUUUUUUGUUCAGCUGUCUGAAUAUUGCGCUUUCAACAAAUUUGUUGGAGUUCUUUGAGGACAUAACAUAUAGGGUAGAUAAAGGGGAACCAGUGGAUGUGGUGUAUUUGGACUUCCAAAAGGCAUUUGACAAGGUGCCAUACCAAAGAUUAUUACUUAAAGUAAAAAAAUCAUGGGAUUGGGGAUAAUAUUCUGGCAUGGGUGGAGGAUUGGCUUUCUAACAGAAAACAGAGAGUUGGGAUAAAUGGUUUAUUCUCAGACUGGCAGUUGGUGACUAGUGGUGUUCCGCAGGGGUCGGUGUUGGGACCCCAACUCUUUAAAAUCUAUAUUAAUGAUUUGGAGAAAGGGAUUAAGUGCAACGUAUCGAAGUUUGCUGAUGACACAAAGAUGGGAGGGAGUGUAAUGAGUGCAGAGGACAUUGAAACCCUGCAGGGGGACAUAGAUAGGCUGAAUGAUUGGGCAGACAUUUGGCAGAUGAAAUAUAAUACUGACAAGUGUGAGGUCUUGCACUUUGGCAGGAAAAAUAAUAGAGCAAGUUAUUAUCUAAAUGGAGAGAAACUGGAAAGUGCUUCUGUGCAAAGGGAUCUGGGGGUCCUGGUGCAGGAAAACACAAAAAGUUAAUAUGCAAGUGCAGCAGGUGGUCAAGAAGGCCAAUGGAAUGCUGGCUUUUAUUGCUAGGGGGAUGGAGUAUAAGAACAGGGAGGUCUUACUGCAGUUGUACUGGGUAUUGGUGAGACCACACCUGGAGUACUGCGUGCAGUUCUGGUGUCCAUAUUUAAGAAAGGACAUAUUGGCUCUCAAGGCAGUGCAGAGAAGGUUCACUAGGUUUAUUCCGGGGAUGGGUGGGUUGAUGUAUGAUGAGAGGUUGAGUAGAUUGGGACUCUACUCAUUGGAGUUCCGAAGAAUGAGAGGCGAUCUUAUUGAAACAUAUAAGAUUGUGAAGGGGCUUGAUUGGGUGGAUGCAGGGAGAAUGUUCCCAAUGAUGGGUGAAACUAGGACUAGGAGGCAUAAUCUUAAAAUAAGGGGAUGCUGUUCCAGGACUGAGAUGAGGAGAAAUUUCUUCACUCAGAGGGUAGAGGGGCUGUGGAAUUUACUGCCCCAGAGAGCUGUGGAAGCUACUACACUCAAUAAAUUCAAAACGGAGAUAGGCAUUUUCCUGGAUAAAAAUGGCAUUAGGGGAUACGGUGAGCGAGCAGGUAAGUGGACAUGAGGCUAGGUUUAGAUCAGCCAUGUGAUCUCCUGGACCAGUUUUCGAUAGCCUAGAUGGGUCGGAGAGGAAUUUUCCAGAUUUUUUCUCCUCAAUUGGCAAAUCGUUUUUUUUUCCCCGGGUGAUCACAUGGGUUUGGGCGGGAUGAAUAAUAAAAUAAAAUGGGCGGCAUGGUGCCCUGUUGGUUGGCACUGUUGCCUUGUGGGAUUCAGUGAAAACUAGAGUUAAGAUUGGAUCAGCCAUGAUCUUGUUGAAUGGUGGAGCAGGCUUGAGGGGCCGAUUGGCCUACUCCUGCUCCUAUCUCUUAUGUUCUUAUGUUUCUCAUGGCUGUUAUUUUACUCUGCAUUCUGUUAUUGUUUCAGCUCAAUGCACUGUGUAAUAUCUGAUCUGUAUGGACAGUAUGCAAGGUAAACAUCGAUGCCUGUGACCACCACCCCGUUCCAAUGCACAUUAACGGGUACGGGUGGGGAUGCAAACACAGUCCGCGCUGACCUUGAAUAAGGAAAUGGGAAAUGGUGGAAGGGGAGUGGUUAAGUCUAAGUGGUCAGGUGAUUGGUGAGCAAUGCACACAAAAUUCUGGAGGAACUCAGCAGGUCAGGCAGCAUCUAUGGAAAGUAUUACAGUCAAUGUUUCAGGCAGAGACCCUUCAUUAAGGGAGCGGUGAGGGGGAAGGUGGGUGGGUGGGAGCAUGGGGAUGACGUGAAAAGUUGGGAGAGGAUAGGCGGAAGAGAUAGAGAGAUGAAGAAGCAAUAAAGAUCUUCCUCAGGGAUAGAAUUCCCCUUACUCUUACCUAUAAUCCCACAAAUGUCUGCAUCUUCCUUGGUCUUCAACAGGAUCCUACCACCAAUCACACCUUUACCUCCCCAACCUCCCACCCUCCAUUUCCCGCAGGGCUCACUCUCUCCGAUUCACUUGUCCUUUCACCCCUUCGCACUAAUCUCCUUCCUGGCUCUGAACCCAGCAGGCGGCCGAAGUGCUACAUCUGCCCAUUCAGGGCCCCAACAGUCCUUUGGGGCGAGGUAACACCUCACCUGCCAAUCUGCUGGGAUCGUUGAUUGUGUCUGGUGCUCCCGCUGUGACCAGUUGUAGAUUUGGGGGCCGCUUCACCGAGCACCUUCGCUCAGGUUUUGGCUGGUCAUCAUCCAUUUUAGCUCUACUUUCCAUUCCCACUCCAACGUGCUGGUCCAGGGCCUCCUCACCUGCCAUGAUGAGGCUACGGUCAGGGUGGAGGAGCAACACCUCAUAUCUGACUGGGUAGCCUCCAACCUGAUGGCAUGAACAUUGAUUUCUUCAACUUCUCCCAUUUUCCAUUUUGGUUCUCCCCUCACCCCUUCCCAUCUCCUCACCUGCCCAUCAGGAUCAGAACCAGGCAUAAUAUCACUGGCUUAUGUUGUGAAAUUUGCCAUUUGGUGGCAGUACAGUGCAAUACAUGGCAAUAACAAUUACAUUAAGAAAUAUACCUAAGUGAAAAGUAGUGCAAUUGUAUCACUGAGCAAGUGUUCAUGGGUUCAUUGUCCAUUCAGCUGUCUCCCUCUCCCAUGGUCCACUCUCCUAUCUAAUCAGAUCCCUUUCUCUUUAGCCCAUUAUCUCUUCCACCUAUUGCCUCCCAGCUUCUUACUUCACCCCACCCCCAACCACCCAGACUCCUCCUUACUUGAUCUCAACUAUCACUUCCUAGUUUACCCGCCAUCUCAUUCUGGCCCCUGUCCCCUUCCUUUCCCAUCCUGAUGAAGGGUCCAGGACUGAAAUAUCUGCUGUUUAUUUGCCACCAUAGAAGCUGCUUGAUCUACUGAGUUCCUGCAGCAUUUUGUAUGUGUUGCAAUAGUUUAUCUAAAGCUCUGGUCUCCUAUCUCCAUGAGAGAAAGCCUAUUUAUAUCCCCCAUUCCUCUGCACUGGCCACUGGGAGAGGAAGGCUGAGGUGAUAACUCUGACCUCCUGUGUGGAGAAGGCCGGACAGCCUGCCUGAAUGCCUGAGACAUUAUCGGUGGCAAGAAUAGAAUAGUGAUGCAGAAAUGUGUGACUGCUCACGACAGGUUUGGUUUUAGAACAUUACUUUAGUUAUCACUGGCUGUAUGAAUCUCCACAUUACAAACCAUAGAGCCAGAGAGCACUGGAGCAUGGAAACGGGCCUUUCAGCCCAUUUACUCCAUGGCAAACUAUUAAUCUGCCUAGUCCUAUCAACGUGCCCCCAGACUAUAGCCCUCCAUACCCUUCCCAAAAUUUCUCUUAAAUGUUGAAAUCAAACCUGCAUCCACCACUUGCGCUGACAGCUCGUUCCAUGUUCUCACCUCACUCAUACUCCCUUUAAACACUUCACCUUUCACCCUUAACCCAUGACCCCUAAUUCUAGUCCCCCGUCCCCCCGCCAACCUCAGUGGAAAAAGCCUGCUUGCAUUUACCCUAUCUAUACCCUCACAAUGUUGUAUGCCUAUAACAAAUCUUCCCUCAUUCUCCUGCACUCCAGGGAAUAAAGUCCUAACCUAUUCAACCUCCAGUCCUAGCACAUCCUUGUAAAUUAUCUCUAAAGACUUUCAAUCUUUUGUGUAGGUGACCAGAACUGCACACAGAGUGAGUAACGAUGUGCAGUUAACAAGGAGAGGCCACUGUCUGCCUCCAUUGUAUUCCACGUGUAUUUCACCUCCAACACACAGGUCCCGAGGGAGCUGGAGGCCCAUCAUGAAAGGGUAGUCCUCAAAAAAAAUACUGCAAAUCUGAAAUUAAAACAGAAAAUGCUAUAAACUCAGAACAUCACCAAGGUCCACCAACACUGAGUACAUCGAUACAGAGCGCUGUCACAGAAAAGCAGCCUCAAUCAUCGGGGACCCCACCAGCCAAGCCAUGCUCUUUUCUCACUGCUGCCAUCAGAAAGAAGGUACAGGAGCCUCAAGGCAGCAUCACUAGGCUCAGGAACAGUUACUACCCCUGAAUCACCAGGUUCUUGAACGAGAGGAGAUAACUUCACUCACUCCAACACUGAACUGUUUCCACAACCUACAGACUCACUCUCAGGGAAUCCAUCUCGCAUUCUCAAUAUUAUUUAUUUAUUGUGUUUAUUUAUUAUUUAUUUAUAGUUUGUCUCUGGUUGUUUGCCAGUCUUUGUGUGCAGCUUUUCAUUAAUUCUGUUGUAUUUUUUGUUCUGCUGUGAACACCUGCAAGAAAAUAAAUCUCAGGGUGACACAUA